rnacentral:rRNA from 1 species
GAUGAAUGCUGGCGGCGUGCCUAACACAUGCAAGUCGAGCGGCAGCGCGAGUAGUUUACUACUUGGCGGCGAGCGGCGGACGGCUGAGUAACGCGUGGGAACAUGCCCCAAAGUGAGGGAUAACUGCUCGAAAGGGUAGCUAAUACCGCAUAUGGUCUUCGGAUUAAAGGAUUUAUCCGCUUUGGGAGUGGCCUGCGUACGAUUAGAUAGUUGGUGAGGUAAUGGCUCACCAAGUCGACGAUCGUUAACUGGUCUGAGAGGAUGAUCAGUCAGACUGGAACUGAGACACGGUCCAAACUCCUACGGGAGGCAGCAGUGGGGAAUUUUGGACAAUGGGGGCAACCCUGAUCCAGCAAUGCCGCGUGAGUGAAGAAGGCCUUCGGGUUGUAAAGCUCUUUUGUCAGGGAAGAAACACCGGCUCUAACACAGUCUGGGAAUGACGGUACCUGAAGAAUAAGCACCGGCUAAC